GUGCCAGCCGCCGCGGUAAUACGGAGGGUGCAAGCGUUAUCCGGAUUCACUGGGUUUAAAGGGUGCGUAGGUGGGUAGGUAAGUCAGUGGUGAAAUCCCCGAGCUUAACUUGGGAACUGCCGUUGAUACUAUCUAUCUUGAAUAUCGAGUAGGUAAGCGGAAUAUGUCAUGUAGCGGUGAAAUGCUUAGAUAUGACAUAGAACACCAAUUGCGAAGGCAGCUUACUUCAAGAUUAUUGACACUGAGGCACGAAAGCGUGGGGAUCAAACAGGAUUAGAUACCCUGGUAGUCCACGCCCUAAACGAUGGAUACUCGACAUCAGCGAUAUACUGUUGGUGUCUGAGCGAAAGCAUUAAGUAUCCCACCUGGGAAGUACGACCGCAAGGUUGAA
rnacentral:rRNA from 1 species